rnacentral:rRNA from 1 species
ACUCCUACGGGAGGCAGCAGUGGGGAAUAUUGCACAAUGGGGGAAACCCUGAUGCAGCCAUGCCGCGUGUGUGAAGAAGGCCUUCGGUUGUAAAGCACUUUCAGUAGGGAGGAAGGUAGUGUAGUUAACACCUGCACUAUUUGACGUUACCUACAGAAGAAGCACCGGCUAACUCCGUGCCAGCAGCCGCGGUAAUACGGAGGGUGCGAGCGUUAAUCGGAAUUACUGGGCGUAAAGCGCAUGCAGGCGGCCUGUUAAGUCAGAUGUGAAAGCCCGGGGCUUAACCUCGGAAUUGCAUUUGAAACUGGCAGGCUAGAGUCUUGUAGAGGGGGGUAGAAUUUCAGGUGUAGCGGUGAAAUGCGUAGAGAUCUGAAGGAUACCAGUGGCGAAGGCGGCCCCCUGGACAAAGACUGACGCUCAGAUGCGAAAGCUGGGGGAGCAAAC